ACCUUAGAGACCAACUAAGUUUGUUCUUGGUAUAAGCUUUUGUGUGCAUGAAGUAUGCAUGCACAUGAAAGCUUAUACCAAGAACAAACUUAGUUGGUCUCUAAGGU